rnacentral:rRNA from 1 species
UACGAAGGGGGCUAGCGUUGCUCGGAAUCACUGGGCGUAAAGCGCACGUAGGCGGAUUGCUAAGUCAGGGGUGAAAUCCUGGAGCUCAACUCCAGAACUGCCUUUGAUACUGGGAAGCUUGAGUCCGGGAGAGGUGAGUGGAACUCCGAGUGUAGAGGUGAAAUUCGUAGAUAUUCGGAAGAACACCAGUGGCGAAGGCGGCUCACUGGCCCGGUACUGACGCUGAGGUGCGAAAGCGUGGGGAGCAAACAGG